AGCAGCCGCGGUAAUUCCAGCUCCAAUAGCGUAUAUUAAAGUUGUUGCAGUUAAAAAGCUCGUAGUUGAAUUUCGGGGUCAGUAGAUUGGUCGUGCCACUGGUAUGUACUGGUCUCACUGGCUCCUCCUUCCUGAUGAACCGUAAUGCCAUUAAUUUGGUGUUGCGGGGAGACUGGACUGUUACUUUGAAAAAAUUAGAGUGUUUAAAGCAGGCUAACGCUUGAAUACAUUAGCAUGGAAUAAUGAAAUAGGACGUUCGAUCUUAUUUUGUUGGUUUCUAAGAUUGACGUAAUGAUUAAUAGGGAUAGUUGGGGGCAUUAGUAUUCAAUUGUCAGAGGUGAAAUUCUUGGAGUUAU
rnacentral:rRNA from 1 species